UACGAAGGGGGCUAGCGUUGCUCGGAAUCACUGGGCGUAAAGCGCACGUAGGCGGAUCUUUAAGUCAGGGGUGAAAUCCUGGAGCUCAACUCCAGAACUGCCUUUGAUACUGGGGAUCUCGAGUCCGGAAGAGGUAAGUGGAACUCCGAGUGUAGAGGUGAAAAUUCGUAGAUAUUCGGAAGAACACCAGUGGCGAAGGCGGCUUACUGGUCCGGUACUGACGCUGAGGUGCGAAAGCGUGGGGAGCAAACAGG
rnacentral:rRNA from 1 species